rnacentral:rRNA from 1 species
UACGUAGGGGGCGAGCGUUGUCCGGAAUUAUUGGGCGUAAAGAGCGUGUAGGCGGUUCGGUAAGUCUGUCGUGAAAUCCUGAGGCUCAACCUCGGGCGUGCGAUGGAUACUGCCGGGCUAGAGGGUGGUAGAGGCGAGUGGAAUUCCCGGUGUAGCGGUGAAAUGCGCAGAUAUCAGGAGGAACACCGGUGGCGAAGGCGGUUCUCUGGGCAUUACCUGACGCUGAGGAGCGAAAGUGUGGGGAGCGAACAGG